GCAGAGCUAGCUCAUCUUGGGUCUCAGCUAGCUUCCAGACUGUUCCUGCCCUCCAGCUGGUGAAAACCAAAAAUAGACCCAGGAAACAGCAGAAUCGCUAUCAGAAAUGAAUGAGGAAAGACCAACAUAUGCAGAGCUGAAAUUAUCCUUGAAGAGUAGGAAGGACAAAAACCAGCCAACUCAGAAAAAGAGAGAAUAUCCAUGGCGUGUAAGUGUUGUGAUUCUGGGAUCAGUAUGUCUUUGUCUUCUGAUGUCAAGCUCAGUUUUGGGAUAUCUAUUUUUUCAGGACACUUCAAGGUUCAAAAUUCAAUGUGAGCAAGUUGCAAAUGAAAGUGCUGUCUCCUCAGUGGAAGUAGAGCCUUCAGGUUUGAUAAUGAUUGCUUUUAUUUUAAGGAAAACGCUGCUACAGAUGUCAAGGAAGAUGGUCUUGCUGUGGAGAAAAGUGUUACUACUUUUCAGAAGAAGAAAAGACAUGGGAUGAGAGUGAGGCAUCCUGCAAACUUCGGGGUUCUCAUCUCGCUAAGAUUGACAGCAGAGAGGAGCAGAACUUUAUUCAGUCAAGAUUGAAUUACAGCUAUUGGAUUGGAUUACGUAAAAACGGAGGUCGGUUCCAGUGGGUACACCAUAAGGAUGCAAACUUUUCUUCAGAUUUGGAUUUUCACAUGACUACACAUGUAAGAAAUGCAGAAUGUAGAUAUAUCAAGCCAAAAAACCUCAACAGUGCUCCAUGUUGUAGAUAUUUCCACUACAUUUGUAAAAAGAAUUUUACCUGCUUGGAAGCUUGAGAAAAUUGGUAAAAGCACAGUUUUACUAUUUUUAUUCCUUAGUGGCUAUUAAUAAAAUAAAAUUCCUCCAAGUC